AGAGUUUGAUCCUGGCUCAGGACGAACGCUGGCGGCGUGGAUUAGGCAUGCAAGUCGCGCGACAGGCGGAGCAAUCCGUUAUGGAGCGGCGAACGGGUGAGUAACACGUGAGAAAUCUACCCUUACGUUCCGGAUAAUUGGCUGAAAAGCCUUGUAAUACGGGGGAGGUUCAUUUUUAGGCAUCUUUAGAUGAACAAACGAGCAAUCGGCGCAAGGAUGAUCUCGCGGCUUAUCAGGUAGUUGGUGGGGUAACGGCCUACCAAGCCUACGACGAGUAGCUGGUCUGAGAGGAUGGUCAGCCACAUUGGAACUGAGACACUGUCCAGACUCCUACGGGAGGCUGCAGUCGAGAAUCUUGGGCAAUGCACGAAAGUGUGACCCAGCGACGCCGCGUGAAGGAUGAAGGCCCUCCGGGUCGUAAACUUCUUUUAUAGGGGAAGAACACAAUGACGGUACCCUAUGAAUAAGCCACGGCUAACUACGUGCCAGCAGCCGCGGUAAUACGUAGGUGGCAAGCGUUGUCCGGAUUUACUGGGCGUAAAGGGCAGGCAGGCGGGCUGUUAAGUAGAAAGUGAAAGGUCGGGGCUCAACCCCAACAUUGCUUUUUAUACUGGCAGCCUUGAAUCCCGGAGGGGAAAGCGGAACGACACGUGUAGCGGUGAAAUGCGUUGAUAUGUGUCGGAACACCAAUGGCGAAGGCAGCUUUCUGGACGGGGAUUGACGCUCAACUGCGAAAGCCGAGGUAGCGAACAGGAUUAGAUACCCUAGUAGUCC
rnacentral:rRNA from 1 species